CAGCAGCCGCGGGAAUACGUAGGUGGCAAGCGUUGUCCGGAAUUAUUGGGCGUAAAGGGCUCGCAGGCGGUUUCUUAAGUCUGAUGUGAAAGCCCCCGGCUCAACCGGGGAGGGUCAUUGGAAACUGGGAAACUUGAGUGCAGAAGAGGAGAGUGGAAUUCCACGUGUAGCGGUGAAAUGCGUAGAGAUGUGGAGGAACACCAGUGGCGAAGGCGACUCACUGGUCUGUAACUGACGCUGAGGAGCGAAAGCGUGGGGAGCAAACAGGAUUAGAUACCCCUGUAGUCCCUGUCUCUUAUAC
rnacentral:rRNA from 1 species